rnacentral:lncRNA from 1 species
GUUUUUGAUGAUCACUUUUGCCACCGUCUAAGAAUAAAGCCAAUGCCAAAGGAAACAAAGCUGAGAUGGAGAAUGAUUCCCGUUGACAUGGUUUGAAUACUGGUUCAACUGCAUAGGAAAAGCAAGGCAAGUGAGGGGUCGCUUAUCCUCUUGGAGGCUAGUCUGGGCUCCUUCGCAUAGUGGCUGAAGAUUUCCCUGCAGCGAGAGAGGACAAGCCCCCAUGGGCAAGCACUUUUCCAACCUUUGCUUGUGUCUUGUUUGCUGUUGUCCCACUGUGGCAAGCAGGUCACGUGGCCAAGCCCAGUGUCAGUGUUGUGGGGAGCCUACAUCGAGGGCGGACACCAGAAGGCAGGGGUCACACCUGGGCGCCAUUGCCACAGCAAUCUGCCCACAGCCUGCCCCAGCUGGCCCUCCUAUCGGAGAGUAGUUCUGAUGGUACGACUAAGCCAAAGCUUGCCUUCUGCCACAUUCUACCUGUUGAUCCCCAAUCUCCCUCCAGUCUUGUCCACAUGACAGGACUUUGGCAACCAUAUCUGGCUUGGAAUCCUCUAAGUGGACAGACUGCUGAGCAUUCCACUUCCCCUCAUGCCACUUCUUUGUACCCAAAUGCAAAGGGGACAUGGGGCAUCAGCUCUUGAGGUUAGAGACCCAUUCAGCCAACAGGUUGUACCUACUCUGUGUAAGGAUCUAGCCUAGAUGCUGGGGAUCUAGCGGGAAACAAAACAGACCAAAAGACAAUCCCUGCCUGCUGGGAGCCUACAUUCUUUUUUUUUUUGAGAUGGAGUUUCGCUCUUGUUGCCCAGGCUGGAGUGCAAUGGCGCAAUCUCGGCUCACGGCAACCUCUGCCUCCCAGGUUCAAGCGAUUCUCCUGCCUCAUCCUCCCGAGCAGCUGGGAUUACAGGCGCCCACCAUCAUGCCCGGCUAAUUUUUUUGUAUUUUUAGUAGAUACAUGUUGGCCAUGCUGGUUCUAAACUCCUGACCUCAGGUGAUCCACGUGCCUCAGCCUCCCAAAGUGUUGGGAUUAUAGGAGUGAGCCACUGCGCCUGGCAGAGCCUACAUUCUUAUGGGGUAGAUAUUAAUAAACAAAUGUACAAGUAAAAUAUAUGAAAAUGAAGACGAGUGGAUGGGAUGAGGAACAGGAAAAAAAUGACUAUGAUUUUUUUUUGUUGUUGUUGUUGAGACGGAGUCUCCCUGUGUCACCCAGGCUGGAGUGCAGUGGCGAGAUCUUGGCUCACUAUAGCCUCUGCCUCCCAGGUUCAAGUGAUUCUCCCACCUCAGCCUCCCAAGUAGCUUGGAUUACAGGUAUGUGCCACCACUCUUGGCUAAUUUUUGUAUUUUUAGUAGAGACGGGGUUUUGCCAUUUGGCCAGGCUGGUCUCGAACUCCUGACCUCAGGUCAUCCACCCACCUUGCCCUCCCAAAGUGCUGGGAUUACAUUUGUGAGCCACCGCACCCAGCCACAAUGACCAUGAUUUAAAGAGCUCUUCAUCUCAGAGAAGGAGCAGGACAGGAGACUAAUGGAGGGGGCUUCCGGCAGUGCUGGUGGGGAAGGUGGGCAGACCUGUGGGUGAGCCCUGGAGCCAGUUCUGUGUGUGUGUGCAUAUGUGUGUGUGUGUGUGUGUGUGUGUGUGUGUGUACAGUCAACCCAGGCUGUAAGCUCCUCAACUUUAGGACACUUCCCAGCACUUUGGGAGGGUGAAAUGGGAGGAUCACUUAAGGCCAAGGGUUUGAGACCAGCCUGGGCAACAUAGCAAGACCCCAUCUCUAAAAAAAAAAAAAACUUAGCCAGGCAUGGUGGCAUGUUCCUGUAGUUCCAUCCAUUCAGGAGUCUGAGGUGGGAGGAUCGCUUGAGCCCAGGAGUUUGAGGCUGCAGUGAGCUAUAAUGGCACCACUGCACUCCAGUCUGGGUGACAGAGUGAGACUCCAUCACUAAACCAAACAAAUAAGCACAAUAAGAACAAACAAAAAACAACAUUAGGAUAGAGACAUGGCCUGCAAGUGCAUUUCCUAAUGGAUGUCCCUCUGGGGAGAGGUGGGGAUGGGUGGGCAAGCAGAAAACGGCUGGAAAUCUCUGUGUGUAUGUGUUUGGGGCACAGAUGGGGCAAGU